UUAAAUCUCCGUUCUCAGGAGCCUCUGGCUUUGGGAGGUUCUCUGGAGGGCCUGUGGAUGUGAAGAGAUCCCACCGGAGCAGUUAAACUUGGGUGGGCAUAGCUAAGUGCCCAGGCAGAGCCAGGAAAAUUACUGUGGAUCAUUUUGAGCGGCGUGGACCUACCUGCUGAGAUAAUUUCACUCAGAAGCAUUAGAGAUACGCACAAGAAGGAAGGACAGAGUUUGUAAGCGAUGAUCAACAAAGAAAAGCCCAGUGAGGUGUUGGAUGAGCAGCUGCUAGUGGAUGCUGCAGACCAAUAGGUGUCAUGGUGUAAUAAGUGCUAGGACAAGGAAAAACGGCCUUGAGUUACACCAGGGAAGACCUAGAUUUGCUGUUAGAAGAGAUUUCCUCACUGAAAGGGUUCUCAAGCACUGGAACAGGCUCCUAAGGAAGGUAGCUGGAUCCUCAUCCCCAGAGGUGUUUAAAAGAGGCAGAGAUGUGGUGCUGAGGGAUGUGGUUUAGCACCAGACUUGGCAGAUAAUGGACUCAGUGAUCCUAAAUGUCUUUUCUGACUGAACCAAUUCUAAGGUUCUAUAUGGAGCAAAUUUGACUUUGCAGUGAGAGUAAAGAUGGUAAUACCAGAGUAAAGAUACUGCAAUAAA